rnacentral:rRNA from 1 species
AGUGAAUAGAUACCCGGGUAGUCCUAGCCGUAAACGAUGAGCACUAGGUGUUGGGGGAUACCUUCAGCGCCGCAAAGUUAAACACGUUAAAGUGCUCCACCUGGGGACUACGGCCGCAAGGUUAAAACUCAAAGGAAUUGACGGGGGCCCGCACAAGCGGUGGAACAUGUGGUUCAAUUCGACGCUACGCGAAGAACCUCACCAGGGUUUGACAUGUAGGAAGUAGUGAACCGAAAGGGGAACGACCUGUCAAGUCAGGAGCCUGCACAGGUGUUGCAUGCCUGUCGUCAGCUCGUGUCGUGAGAUGUUGGGUUAAGUCCCCGCAACGAGCGCAACCAUUAUUUUUAGUUGCUACUCUCAAAGCCGCAAGGCCUAGAGAGGCACUCUAAAGAGACUGCCCGCGAUAAGCGGGAGGAAGGUGGUGAUGACGUCAAGUCAGUACGGCCCUUAUACCCUGGGCUACACACGUGUUACAAUGCCCUCUACAAAG